CGACGUGAGCAACCUGCCUUUCAGAGGGGGAUAACAUUUGGAAACAGAUGCUAAUACCGCAUAAGAUUACAGUACCGCAUGAUACAGUGAUCAAAGGAGCAAUCCGCUGAAAGAUGGGCUCGCGUCCGAUUAGAUAGUUGGUGAGGUAACGGCUCACCAAGUCGACGAUCGGUAGCCGGACUGAGAGGUUGAACGGCCACAUUGGGACUGAGACACGGCCCAG
rnacentral:rRNA from 1 species